UGUCGUCAGCUCGUGUUGUGAAAUGUUGGGUUAAGUCCCGCAACGAGCGCAACCCUUAUCCUUUGUUGCCAGCACGUAAUGGUGGGAACUCAAAGGAGACUGCCGGUGAUAAACCGGAGGAAGGUGGGGAUGACGUCAAGUCAUCAUGGCCCUUACGAGUAGGGCUACACACGUGCUACAAUGGCAGAUACAAAGAGAAGCGACCUCGCGAGAGCAAGCGGAACUCAUAAAGUCUGUCGUAGUCCGGAUUGGAGUCUGCAACUCGACUCCAUGAAGUCGGAAUCGCUAGUAAUCGUAGAUCAGAAUGCUACGGUGAAUACGUUCCCGGGCCUUGUACACACCGCCCGUCACACCAUGGGAGUGGGUUGCAAAAGAAGUAGGUAGCUUAACCUUCGGGAGGGCGCUUACCACUUUGUGAUUCAUGACUGGGGUGAAGUCGUAACAAGGUAACCGUAGGGGAACCUGCGGUUGGAUCACCUCCUUA
rnacentral:rRNA from 1 species